AAAAAAAAUGCAUGGUUCGCGAGUAGCGUCUCCGGCUCCCCGGAGGAGUAGAGACAGGUAUAGUAACCCAAAAAUGGGCUUUGGACAAAUCAAUAUUUAAUUCACUUUAAUAAUGAUUGAUAAUGCGAAAAAUUUUGAUGCAAAAAAAAAAGGGUGCUAGCGCCAUUCCGUGCGUUAAUCGUGUUUUAGGCUUUUAAUCCUGUUCCUAUAAAACAAAAAAAAAAAGGGAUCCGGAUCAUAGACUUUGAUACACGUUUCUGCUAAUUGAAAAAAAAGCCCAGCGAUAAUGAUACAAUUAUUACGUCUACCGUCAACUACCUUUCGAUGUGUAAUAAACAUUUAAUGAAUCUACUACGCGCCCUGUAUAAAAAAAAAAAAAACUGUAUACAUAUGUAUUUUAGAUUAUCAUAUAAUUAACAAUAACGAAACACACAUUCACAUAUACACACACGCCGUGAUAAAAAAAAAAAAAAAAGAAAACCAAGUAUAUCGACUUUUAAAAAAGUCUAUAUCGAGAGAUAAGCGCAAAGCUGCACAAUGGUUUUUAAACGAUGCGCUUCAAUUCCCACUUUUUAAUUAAAAAAAAAAUUUCUCUUGACUGAGCAAUUUUUUUUGUUCCACUUCUGACUUUACAAUUCUAAAAUUUUUUCGGCAUUCUUAUCCAAAGACACAUCACACUGAAAAAAUUGCAUUCAAUUUUGACUCCCAAUUUUUCAAAUUCGUAUUUACAAAAGUACAUAUUUUUUUUUUUCGAAGGGAGGGUGGAUGUUAUUUUUUUCGUUUAUCUAAUCGAAGACACUUUUUUUUUUUUUCUUUUCUUUUUAGUUUUUUUCGUGGCUUUGUAAGUAUCUCUCGCUGAACGGUGUAUGGUGAUUUAACAUAAAAAAAAAGAAAAAAAAAAACAAGUAUCUGUGCGUGAGAUUAUUUUUUUUUUUUCGUUUUUUUUUUUUUAUUGGCGUGUUUGAUACGACGAACGAAUCAUUGAUCGAAUGAAUUAAAUGAAUCUGACCAUGUGAGUCUGAAUAUAAAUUUAUGGGUGAUAAUACAUUCUAAGUAAAAAUUAUUUACAAUGAGCAAAUCCAUGUUCGAGCGACAACGAUUUGAGAUUUAUCACUUUUAAUUUAUCAUUGGUUAAAAAAAAAAAGAAAAAAAAAAGUCAGUACUUUAUUAUUAUUUGUUUUUUAUUUAGAAAAAAAAAUGAAGACGAAGCGAACUGGUGUCGCAAAUUAUAAUAGCAAUUAUUAUAAAAUAUAAUGCAAUUAUAAUUUACUUUGUUUAUUAAAAUAUUAAUUGCUCGUCAAUAACACUAGAAAUCUGGUCAAUAAAUUAAUUUUUUUUUUUAUAGAUUAGAUUUUUGUUUUUCUAAUUAACUCAAAACGACCAUUGUGUUAUUUCUAAUGGAUUUUAUUCAACUAGAUUAAAAUGAUGAUAAAUUGAAAAAUAAAAUCUCGGUGUAUAUUUCGAAUUUUUUUUCUUUUUUUUUUGUGAAUUAAAUUCCGUUGACGCUUUUAACGAAGAUUGAUUUGCUCAAUGUAUAAAGAAAGAAGCAAGUAAUUUGUUUCUUUAAGGUUUCAAUUAAUUAUUAUUAUUAAUAUUAUAAUGAAAAAGGCGAUGUUUAAAGUAUAUUUUCUUUACAUUUAGAAUAUGUAAUAUUUUUUUUUUUCUACUUGAAAAUGGUAAAGGUAAAUUUUCGUUUAGAAUUUCUAAUGCAUGGGUUUGCAUUAUGCAUUUUGGUUUAUUUUUUUAUUUUUUGCUUUUUUCUCUCGUUUUAUAUCGCUUAUUAAAUCAAAACAAAUUAAUAGUUAAAUGUAAAAAUCUUUUGCGAUGUGGUAUUGUAUAUAUUUUUUUUCUCUUUUUUUUUAAUCGAUAAGUUUUUAUUGAAAUAUUAUAAUUAUAAUAAUCUUGAUAUUUAUAAUUAUAAUGUGAAUUGCGCGAAGCGCUUUAAUUAUUACUUUUUUUUUCUUUCUUAAUUGUGAUUGGCCCCAGUAUGUAGCUUGAAUCUAAGAAAAAAAGGAAUGUCAGAAAAAUUUUUGAUUUAGUCAUUUUGAGUAAUUGAGAAAUAUUGAUGAAUUGUGAAAUUUGUGAAGAUUAUGAAAUUUAGACUCUCGUUUAUAUAAUUUAUAGUCAUGCAUUAAAAUUACGUUUAGUUUCCUUUUUUUUUUUUGUUUUGUAGUUUUAAAAAAAAAAAAAAUUGUUUUAAUGGUAUCUAUAGUAUCUGAAUAUCACGGAUCAAGACUUUGAUUGAUUUAAUCCAAACGACAAAAUUUGCAGAUUAGUUAUUAUUUUUUUUUGUCUCUUUUCGAGUAAACUUUUUGCAAUAAUGACUUCUUCCAAGUUACGCAUCAACAUUUACUAAUGACUUGUGCACAUGAUAGAAAAAAAAGAAGCAAUUCUUUUCAGACUAAUUAACUAAAAGCUACUAAACCAUUUUUUAGUUUUUCAAAUUUUUUUUUCCGAGACAGAUUUUUUAGUGUUUUUUUUUUUUUCGUUUUUAAUAUGAAACAUAACGAGAAUUUAAGUAGACAUUCAAGAUUUUUUUUAUUUAUUUUUUUUUUUGUAUUGUUCUUGCCAAAAUUUGUAAUUUUUUUGGUAUUUUUAUAUUCUUUAAAAAAAAAAAAAUUUGCAUCUUAGAAGAAAAUAAAAAAAAAAAAAAUUGAUGUUCGUACUUAGUUGAAGUCGAUAAAAAGAAAAAUUUUAUUUCUCUUGUAAAAAGUUUUAAAAAAAUUCGUAUAAUCAAUUGACAACGUCACAAUUUUUCUAUUAAUAUGUUUUAUUUUAUUCAAAUGGGAAAGAAACACCGAUGAUUAUUUUUAUUCUUUAACAGUAUUUCAAUAAUCUCUCGUUUAAUCAUUAUAUGUUAAUGUUAUUUAUUAUCAUUUAUUUUUAUUUGAAAUGGUAAUUGAUUCUUAAAUCCUGAUAAUAAAUUUCCCCUCUAUAUUGAAUUUCAAAUCAGUUACCGUGUGAUUUGUCGAUUGCAAAAAAAAAAAAAACUCCUUUUAAACUUUUAAAAUAUAAAAAAUUUCAAAUAGAAAUGUUAAAUUACAAUUUUUAAUUUUAAAUAUUCGAUGUGAGGAGAUAUUACAGAUUUUAAAUUGCAAAUUUUUAUCUCCAAGACGAUUGAAUUGUUUUUGAAAAAAAAAAAAAAAUCCUAUUGUGACGUUGUUUUUUGUAAUACGAAUUUAAUACAUUUUUGAAAUUAAAAAAAAAAAAUGUAAUUGAUGUCGAGACGUUCUGUCUGAAAUUUUGUUGCUUAAGAUUUAAAUUUACUAGUCAUAUCUGUGUUUUAUUGGGGGAAAAAAAAGAAUUGUUUACAACAAUUUAAUAAUUAUUUUUUUAAAAAUAGAGCUUUUUCAAUAAAGCCAAAAUAAUUUUUGAUGUUGAUAUGAUUGUAUUUUAACAAAUAAUAAUUUGUCAUUAUUCGUGUCUAGAAAUUCUGUACAUAAACAAUUGGCCGAGAUAAUAAUAAUAAUUUUUUUUUUAUCAGUAUUAAUUAUUUUGUAAAUACUAAAUAUUGACACGCGCUUAUAAUGUCAGCGACACGGGUAUCUUAAAAUUUUCUUUUUUUAUUUUCAUUUCAAUUGCACGAAAUUUUUAAAGUAAAUUUAAACAAAUUGACAGUUUCGUCAACGGUUGCCUAAAAAAAAGAAAAAAAAAGUUAAUACAAUCAGAGAAAAAGGUGAAAAAUCAAUCGGUCGAUCAAUGAAAGAAUUACAAAAAAAUAUAAAAAAAUAUAAAAAAAAAAAAACCUUAGCUGUGAUGACGACUCUAUAGGUACUACUAAGUUUUAAUUAAUUUUUGAUCUAUGUAUAUUAUAUACACAAUGCGCAUAUAUAUUAUAUAUAUAAAUAUAUAUUAUAUGUACAUGAUUAAUAAUAGGGGAAAAAGUAAUUAAUAAUUGUACAAUAAUAAUAAUUUUAACAUUCGAAUAUAAGGUCAUAAUAUGAUAUUUCCAAGUAUAAAUAUAUAUAUAUAUAAAAAAAAACGAGCAAUAUAAUUGAGUCGCGACACUAACAAUGUUUAUUGAUACAAAAGAAAAAAUGUAAAUUAAAGUUAAUCAAUAUUAUAAAAAUAAUGAACGUUGAAACACAGAAUAAAGAUUUUUUUUUUUAAUCAAUAUAUAAAAAAUAUUCCAUUAAAAAUUCUGCUUUUCAGCGAUCAUUGUUCUUUUUAAAAAGAAAAAGUGGGAUUGUAGAUUUAACAAAUGCGAUGACGAAUGGUUGGGUCAUUCCAAAAAAAAAAAGAAAAAAAAGUAAAAUGAUUGAAAAAAAUUCAAUCUCAGUUUUAAUGAAAGUACAUGUGUUUAUUUUUUGUUUUUUUUUUUUUUUUUUUGCAUUUUGGAUGGCCCCCCCAAUCGAUCGGCACUUUUAAUGUGAUAUUGUAACGUACAAAAAUCGUUCGUCGCAAUGGGUCCUUUACAAGAAAAAGAUUCCCAUGAUGAGAGAAAAAAUAAAAUCAAUUUUUCGAGUUAACGUGCAAAACAAAAGGACACAAAAAAAACAACUAAAAAUCCCGAGUGAUUUGUUAAGAAAAAAGUAAAUUGUCGCGCAUUAUCUUAAAUGCCAUUCGGGGAAUAGCGUUUUUUAUUCUAAAAUACAAAAAUUAACACGACCACCAGAAUUGGAACAAGGUCGUUUCAUUUUUCAUCGCAGAUUUCAUCUUCUCCCUUCGUUAUUUUUCUUUUUUUUUUUUUUUUGUAUAUCUAACAUGUACAUAUUUCACUGAAUGCAAUUCUUUCAUGAUAAGUUUUUUAAAAGAAAACAAAUUUUUAUCCACACUAUUUUAAAGUUGAUUUGAAAAAAUUUGCAGCAAUAAUCUAAUUUCAAAAAACAAUUUUUCUCAAUGGAGAAAUUUUUUUUUUUUUUUCUUUUAAUCGAGGACCAAACAACAGAAAAAAAUGAAAUUAUUCAAUAAUGACGUUUCAUUUUUUUCUGUUAAAAAAGAAUCAGGAUAAAUUUUUUAAUUUAAAUUGGAAUUUGAAAAAAAUAAUAAUUUUUUUUUUUUUAGUUUUAGAUUAUGAGAAUCCCAUAUUAAAUAUAAAUAUAUAUAUAUAAUAAUAAUAAUUGAAGCACAUCGGAAAUAAGGCCAAUAUUGCUCGUCCCUCUUUGCACAGAGAGAAAGUUACCUCAUAAUUCUUUUUUUAAUAAUGACGAAAACUUGAUAACAAAAAAAAAAAUGUAGAGUAAAUUAAUCAAUUUUGUAUGAUUCCAAUCAUAUUGGAAAUCAAAACAAAAAUAUGUAUGUAUGAUAAUAUUGAAUGAAAAAAUUUUCACUUUGUGCGAGCGAGGCGAACGAAUAAAUCUGUCCAGUUGCAAAUUUGCAGCUUUUCUUAAUUUUCUUUUUUUUUUUGUUCGUUUCCGUAAAAUAUAAUAAGAAUAAAAAUAAUACAGGACACAAAAAAUACACAAACAAUAUUUCAUACUCAUACGAGCCAGCAUACAAAUAAAAAAAAAAAAAAGCGCGAUUACCACACAUCCGUUAAAAUGAUUAAGCCUUAAAUUUAGAAUCGAGUUUACAGCUGGGGAAAAAAAGGGAGUAAAACGUAAAAAAAAAAAAAAAAAAAAAAAGAAAUGCUUCAUGGAAGUAAAAAAAAAUGUUAACAUUCAAAAAUUAAUUGAUUAAUUAAUGUUAAUAAAAUAUUAAUUAAUUAAUUAAUAUUGACGUUGACAUUAAUAUAAGUCAAUAAGAAACAUUUUUUUUUUUUAGAUAUUAUCUCUAUCUGUGAGGAAAAAUCUUUAGCUUUAUCAUUUUUGUGAUUCGUUAAUAUAUUCUAUGUCGAUAAUACUUGUUUGAUUGAUAGAGAAUAUCAUUUUUGAAAAUUAAGUGUAAACACAAUUUCAACCGAUUUUAUCAUCUAUUAAAAAAAAAAAAAUUGAGUCUUUGUAAUUUUUCUGCAUGUUAUAUGUUUUAAUAUUACAUAAAUGUUAAUUGGGAAAUAUUUGUAAAAAAAAAAAGAGAAAAAAUUCCUUUAACGAAAAGAAAAAGGAUUUCGAACGAUAAAAUUGGUAGUUCAUUGUGUUAAUUUCUCCCUUUUUUUCUUUUUUUUAAUUAUUAUUAUUAUUAUUAUUAAAAAAUAUAUAAAUAUAUAUAUAUAUUCUUAAUUCAUUUAAAUAUAACGCUUUGCGAGUUCACGCGACCUUUUUAAAAUUUGCAGAUUUUUUAUUGAAAAGGAAAAAUUAAAUCGCGUGAGUUCGCAAAGACGUGACUGAUUUUAAAAUGUAUAUCUGAAAAAAGGACCGGCUCUCCCUCUAUACAUUAUAUAAGAUCUUUCGGGGUUUCUUCUUUUUUCGGAAAAAAAAUAAAAAAUAAAAUAAAACAUUACUUUUUAUAUAUUAUAAGAGUGCGGACAAAGAGAGCGCGUUCUUGUCCGUGAAUUCUGCUGCGCGUUCAGCAAAAAAUCGUACUGAUUAUUUUAAGAGAAAUCGAGAUUCGAUUGUGUACCUUGAUAUAUAUCAAAAGAUAUGUUUAUCACAACAACAAAAAAAAAAAAUUGUUUGAAUAAUUACGAUAAUUGUGAAAGUAUGUGUAUGUGCGUGUGAAACAAAAAAAAACCGACAGAGUGCUUCCUCGCCUAUAUUAAUAUAAAAAAGGACACAUUUUCUUUUUUCAAAUCUACUUAUGAGAAGAAAAAAAUAAAUAAUGAACAAAUUAUAGAAAUUCGUUUCACAACAUUUUGAAAAUGUGCUCUUUUUUAUAUACUAUUUUUCAACAUACGUUAAUGUUUGACACUCUAAAUAAUCGACAAGUAGAAAAAAAGAAAAUUAAAAAAAAAAAGAAAAAAAAACUUCAGUCUUAAAAUAAAAUUUGGAAUGUCAAACAUUUACGCUUGUAUAAAUUGCCUUUUUUUUCUUUGUAUUAAGUUACACUGUAUUAUGUCAUACACUUUUAAGCUAAUUCACCUCCUUUUUUUUUUGUUUUGUUUUCUCGUUCUUAAAGCAAAAAAAAAAAAAAUCAUAAUUUUGAUUAACAAAAUGUUUAUUGACAAAAUGUUAAUCUCAGAUUUAUAACUUGUACGAGGCAUUUCCUAUAGUUUUGUUUUUCUUGCGAUUUAAAAGUUAUAAUAAUAUUUGUUACCAGCGACAAUGGUAGUUGUUUAUAUAUAUAUAUAUCUGUAUAAUUUUUUUUUUUUUUUUUUUAAAGACGAAUACAUGAACAAUUUAAUUCUUCGAAAAAAAGAACAAUUCCAUUUUUUUCUGAAAAUAAUUUUAUUCUCUUGUUUGAAAAAAUUUUGUUUUCUUCAAUGUUUAAGAAACAAAAAAAAAAAUUAUAUUCUUUAAAAAUUGUAUUUAAAAAAAAAUUGUUUUUAAAAAUUAUUUUCCUAAAUAAUUAUUUUCUUCAAAUGUUAUUUUUCUAAAAAAAAAAAAUUGUAUUUCUGAAAAAGAAAAUUAAUUUUACUAAAAAAAAAAAGAAAAGGAAAAUAAUUUUUUUUUUACUGAAAAAAAUGUAAUUCUUUCUUUUUUUCGAAAAGAAGUGUGAUAAACAAAAAUUUGAUUUUCUCGAGGAUAAAAGAAGAAGCAGCAGAAAUUUAAUUUAAAGAAGAAAAAAAAACGAGACGAUGAAUUUUUUUUUUUUUGGAUAAUAAAAUGAGGCAAUUCCUCGAGUAUGUAUUUUGAAUGAGAAACAAAUUAUAAUAUUGUAAAUGUGUGUAUGUAUGAGUGUAAUGGAAUGAAAAAUAGUUUAGCCUUACGUUUUAAGCUACGAUCACUGUGAUUUCCGUUUAAUCUCUUAAAUGGUCAAGCGGACGCAAUGCAAUGAAUCGAAUAAGACUUUAAAAAAAAAAAAAAUGCACGAAAUAAAAAGAGCGAUUGUUAUAAAACGAAGCGACAUUUUUUUUUUUUUUUUUUUUUAUUAAGAUAUAAUUGCGAUUGUAAGUGCGCGUUCAUGACGCAAAAAAAAAAAAAAUAAUAAAAAGCGUCCAGAGACUAUAAAAAGAAAACAAAAAAGAGCACGAACUUUGCAUACAAAUAUUUAAUGUAGUCGGGGUGAUAUAGAUAUUUUGUAAAUGAUAGAAGUUAUAUCAGAAGAUAAGAUGGACAGGAAACAAUUAACAAGUGCUAAUGAAAGUAAAGAGUAAAAAAAAAAAGUAAAUAAAAGUGAAAAAUAGUGAAAGAAAAUAAAAAAAAAGUGAUAGAAGAAUAAAAGAAGAAAAGUGAUUAAAAAAAAAAGUGGCAGAUGAAGAGGAUGGAGAAUUUGUUGGACCAGGAUGGAGGGGAAGGCUCGCAAUGCGUAAGAACGAGAGGACAUCUGCUCCCAUUUUGUGCCAGUUACGCAUCCGAUUGUUUUUUUCGGAAAACAAAAGUUGAACUCACGUGUUUGCGUAGGGCGUGCCCUGAUCUAUUCAAAAUAAAAUCUUUGAACAUCCUGUCAGUUCAUUUUUAUGGACAAUGAAAAAAAAAAAAAAAAGAAAUUCUCCAAAAGAGCCCCUCCGACCAUUUUUGGUGUGAGAGAGGUCAAUUUUAUGACAAUUGAAAAGGGCCCAAGUGAUCGGGGAGUAGUGCGGGCGUUACAACAAGAAAAGCUUUUGAUCAGAGAAAAAUGUUUGAAAAGAAGAAAAGUUUCGAUCUUCCACAAAAGAGAGAAAUUCGAAGGCCAGAAAUGAAAAGCAGCACAAUAAUAAUCACGAGAAUAUCGAAUGAAAUCUUAAAAUAAAAAGAAAAGAGAGAAGAGGCCACCGAAAGAUAUCAUCGGAGAGCUUAUCCAAAAAUAAUAACGGGAGUUUUUGAUUUUUCUUCAUCAAAUAAAUGCGUUUCAUUCCAAUCAGAUUCACGCAUUUUUUUGCUCCCUUCUCUAUCUCUCUCUCUUUUUUUUUCAUGAAUCCAAUUCAUCAUAAUAAUUGUAGUUUACAAAAUGUGUCUGUGUUCACCGAAACGUUUUUCACACACAUGACACGCACAGUCGCUCAUAACAAUUUAAACUAUUAGAAUGUUACAUAAUAAAAACGAUAAAGCAGUAAACAAUGGAGGAGAACUUUCAAAAUAAAUAAAUAAAUAAGAAUAAUAAUAAUAAAGGCCUGGAAUUAUUUGUCCAAUGUAGCAAACAUAUAUAAAAAAAGCUCAUUGGCAACCUUCUCGAUUUAACGAGGAGGAUAUAAUUAUUAUCAGUCCUUUGUCAAAGUUGGAGAUGCAAUGAUCGAAUUCGAGACUGAAGGCGAGAAACAAGAAUAUAAGUAUGUGUGCAUGAAAGUUUCUAAGAAAAAUUGAGAUUGGAAAAAAUGAGAAAAUUUCUUUUUUGCAAAUUUGCAGAGAGGAACCAAAAAAAAAAAACAUAAAAAAAAAAACAAGAACAAGUGUUGAGUAUUAAAAGAACCACAAGGGAGAGAAUGUGUGCUCGAGGGAUAAGGAGAUGGGGACGUAAACGUCUGCUUUCUCAAAAAGCUUUAAAAUUUUUUUUUUUUUUCAUUAAUAGUAUAUAGCUUUAAGUGUGAGGAGUUUUUGAAAUGCUAUUUCUUAGAAAGAUUCUGGUAUUUUUACUGAAAAAUUUACAUUCAAAUUCAUAUUUUAAUUUCGAAAGCAUACAUGCACAAUAGAAAAAAAAAUUAAUCAAAAGAAAAGCAUUUCGGAUAUAAGAGAAAGAUGAAAAGAAGAUGAAGAUAAUAAAAGAAGAAGAGAAAGUAAGGAGGAAAUUUUAAGAAGAUGAUAGAGGAGUAAAAAAAUAAGGACCAAGUUAAAAAAAAAACUUGUUCCGUCAAAGUAUUCACCGAUGGAAAAAAAAAAUUAUUGAUCUCAUUCAUUCACAUCAGCAUCAAUUAUAUUGACAAUUUCAUAUAUAUAUAUAUAUAUAUGAGAGUCUUUAUCAUUCCAGAAGAUCAAUCAAAUCCGCUGAUUGAUUUGCAAUCAACGUGCGAAAUGUUUUCACCAUUUACAAAAAAAAAAAAAAAAAAAAAAAAAAGAAAAAAAAACCAAGACAAAUCACAAAAAAUUUUCAACCAAUUUUUAAGAAGAAAAUGAAGAUGAACAACAACAGCAUCAACAAAUUUACAAAACCAAUUUCUCAAUAUACUGUGAUCUAUCCUUUCCUUUUUUUUUCCUGCAAUAGAAAGUUCUUACAUUAAUAUGAAUCCAAAUUAAUUCCUUUCCUACAGAAAAAAUUCAAUUAUUUCCCCCUUUUUUUUUUUUUAGUUUCAAUCUACAUUCAAUCUGUGUACCUAAUUUACAUAUCCCGUCCAAAUCCAAAAUACCUUUUUUUUUAGGGCCCUUUUCAGGGCCCGCAAAUGUUUCCCAAUGAAGGAAUAUGCUUGGUUCAAACAAACAUAAAAUCUGUCCUUUUAAGGACAAACAAAAAACGUAUAAAGGUUUCAUAUUCAGUAUUUUUUUUAUAAAAAUUGAUUGAAAUAAUUUUAUUGUAAAUGAAAAAUAUUUAUAAUAAAAUAUUGUACGAAUUUUUAUUAAAAAAAAAACUGGUAAAAAAUAAUCUAUCCUUUUUAGGACUAUUUUUUUACAGCUAAUUUUCCAUGAAUUUUAUUUAUGAACAAUUUUUUUUUUUACAUAAUUUAUUUUAGAAAUAAUUUCAAAUAUUUAAAUUAAAUAUUAAUUUUUGUUUUCAUUGAAGAAUUUUUUUUUACUUCUUUUUUUUCUGUUGAGUUAAAUUAUUUUUAAAUAUAAUCAAAAUAAAUUUGAAUGGAUAACGAAAGAAUGAGGAUUUGUCCUUGAUCUUUCUUGAAAAGAAGAGGAAUAUAUUCGUCACAGUUGCUGUUUUUAAGACGGCAAUUAUUCUGAGGGUCAUCGACAUCAAUAGAGAAACAACGCAGAAGUUGAAUAUAAAUGACGAAAUGGAAAAACAUCUUCAAGGAAUCGACUGUUUAGCAAACGCAAAGUGGGCAACUAUUUUUAAAACAAACUGCUUGCUCGACACUGCAUUUAUAAACACCGCCGCAUAAUGUUCCUACAAUGAAAAUUGAUGGAUCCUUCGAUGAGAAAUCAAAACUUGUAAUUGUUAAACCAGCUUCAAUGGCACGUUCUCGAGUACCACCGGAACUACGUGGUCUUGCACUCUCCGAUGGAUUAUGCUCUUUUGCCACUUUAAAUCUAAUACACAGAAGAUACAAAUAAAAAAAAAUACAAAUAAA